GAGGGCGGGUGGAGGAGG
rnacentral:miRNA from 1 species